GUGGGGAAUAUUGGACAAUGGGCGCAAGCCUGAUCCAGCCAUGCCGCGUGAGUGAUGAAGGCCCUAGGGUUGUAAAGCUCUUUCAGUGGGGACGAUAAUGACGGUACCCACAGAAGAAGCCCCGGCUAACUUCGUGCCAGCAGCCGCGGUAAUACGAAGGGGGCUAGCGUUGUUCGGAUUUACUGGGCGUAAAGCGCACGUAGGCGGAUCGUUAAGUCGAGGGUGAAAUCCUGGAGCUCAACUCCAGAACUGCCUUCGAUACUGGCGAUCUUGAGUCCGGAAGAGGUGAGUGGAACUCCUAGUGUAGAGGUGGAAUUCGUAGAUAUUAGGAAGAACACCAGUGGCGAAGGCGGCUCACUGGUCCGGUACUGACGCUGAGGUGCGAAAGCGUGGGGAGCAAACAGGAUUAGAAACCCCGGUAGUCC
rnacentral:rRNA from 1 species